rnacentral:rRNA from 1 species
GGUCAAGUUAGUAAGGGCGCACGGUGGAUGCCUUGGCACCAGGAGCCGAUGAAGGACGUAGGAGGCUGCGAUAAGCCUCGGGGAGCUGCCAACCGAGCUGUGAUCCGGGGGUGUCCGAAUGGGGAAACCCGGCAGGAGUCAUGUCCUGUCACUCUCAUCUGAACACAUAGGGUGAGAAGAGGGAACGUGGGGAAGUGAAACAUCUCAUUACCCACAGGAAGAGAAAGCAACCGCGAUUCCGCGAGUAGUGGCGAGCGAAAGCGGAAGAGGCUAAACCGGGUACGUGGACAAGCCGGCAGGCGUUGCGUGUCCGGGGUCGUGGGACCGUUCUGGUCGAUCUGCCGAUCGGCCGGGGAGUGAGAAAGUGCGGCGUUAGUCGAAGCGUCUGGGAAGGCGCACCAUAGCGGGUGAGAGUCCUGUAGACGAAAGCGACCGCAUCUCCCGAGCGGGAUCCCAAGUAGCACGGAGCCCGUGAAAUUCCGUGUGAAUCUGGGGGGACCACCCCCUAAGCCUAAAUACUCCCUGGUGACCGAUAGCGGACUAGUACCGUGAGGGAAAGGUGAAA